CAUAGAGACCUCAUUGGUGCCCAUAGGGACCCCAUAGAGCCCCAUAGGGACCCCAGAGAGUUCUGUAAUGACCCCAUAGAGCCCGAGAGUGACCCCAUAGAGCUCCACGGUGACCCCAUAGAACCCCACAGUGUCCCCAUAGAGCCCCAUAGGGACCCCAUAGAGCCCCAUAGUGACCCCGUAGAGCCCCAUAGGGACCCCAUAGAGCCCCAUAGUGACCCCGUAGAGCCCCAUAGGGACCCCAUAACAGCCCCAUAGCGACCCCAUAGAGCUCAAAAGGGACCCCAUAUACCUCCAUAGUGACCCCAUAGAGCUCCACAGUGACCCCAUAACAGCCCCAUAGUGACCCCAUAGAGCUCCAUAGUGACCCCAUAAAAGCCCCACAGAGACCCCAUAGAGCUCCAUAGUGACCUCAUAACAGCCCCAUAGUGACCCCAUCGAGCCCCAUAGGGACCCCAUAACAGCCCCAUAGCGACCCUAUAGAGCUUAAUAGAGCCCCACAGUGACCUCAUAGAGCCCCAUAGGGACCCCAUAACAGCCCCAUAGCGACCCUAUAGAGCUCAAUAGGGACCCCAUAUACCUCCACGGUGACCCCAUAGAGCCCCAUAGCGACCUCAUAGAGCUCCACAGUGACCCCAUAGAACCCCAUAGUGACCCCAUAACAGCCCCAUAGUGACCCCAUAGAACCCCAUAGUGACCCCAUAGAGCUCCAUAGGGAUAUGGGGAGGUUUGAGGUGGAAGGGUCCUGGAAGGUCACAGAGAUGUGGGGUGGUUGGGGCGGAAGGGUCCUGGAAGGUCACAGAGAUGUGGGGUGGUUGGGGCGGAAGGGUCCUGGAAGGUCACAGCAAUACGGGGUGGUGGGGCUGGAAGGGUCCUGGAAGGUCAUCACUGAAUGGGUUUUAUUGGAAGGGUCCUGGAAGGUCAUCACUGAGUGGAUGGGAUUGGAAAGGUCCUGGAAGGUCAUCACUAAACGGGUUGGACUGGAAGGGUCCUGGAAGGUCAUCACUGAAUGGAUGGGAUUGGAAAGGUCCUGGAAGGUCAUCUCUGAGUGGGUUGGAUUGGAAAGGUCCUGGAAGGUCUCUGGGAGUGGGUUGGAUUGGAAGGGUCCUGGAAGGCCAUCACUGAACGGGUUGGACUGGAAGGGUCCUGGAAGGUCAGUACUGAAUGGAUGGGGUUGGAAAGGUCCUGGAAGGUCAUUACUGAACAGAUUUAAUUAGAAGGGUCCUGGAAGGUCAUUACUGAAUGGAUGGGAUUGGAAAGGUCUUGGAAGGUCAUCACUAUGCGGGUGGGAUUAGAAGGGUCCUGGAAGGUCACUUCUGAGAGGGUUUGAUUAGAAAGGUCCUGGAAGGUCAUCACUGAAUGGGUUUUAUUGGAAGGGUCCUGGAAGGUCAUCACUGAGUGGGUUGGACUGGAAGGGUCCUGGAAGGUCAUCACUGAAUGGAUGGGGUUGGAAAGGUCCUGGAAGGUCAUCACUGAAUGGGUUUUAUUGGAAGGGUCCUGGAAGGUCAUCACUGAAUGGAUGGGAUUGGAAAGGUCCUGGAAGGUCAUCACUGAACGGGUUGGACUGGAAGGGUCCUGGAAGGUCAUUACUGAAUGGAUGGGGUUGGAAAGGUCCUGGAAGGUCAUCACUGAAUGGAUGGGGUUGGAAAGGUCCUGGAAGGUCAUCACUGAACAGAUUUAAUUAGAAGGGUCCUGGAAGGUCAUGACUGAAUGAAUGGGAUUGGAAAGGUCCUGGAAGGUCAUCACUGAGCGGGUUGGACUGGAAGGGUCCUGGAAGGUCAUCACUGAACGGGUUUUAUUGGAAGGGUCCUGGAAGGUCACCACUGAGUGGGUUUUAUUGGAAAGGUCCUGGAAGGUCUCUGGGAGAGGGACGG
ensembl:lncRNA